GAAUGCUAGGUGUUGGGAGUCAAAUCUCGGUGCCGAAGUUAACACAUUAAGCAUUCCGCCUGGGGAGUACGGUGGCAACACUGAAACUCAAAGGAAUUGACGGGGACCCGCACAAGCAGCGGAGCAUGUGGUUUAAUUCGAAGCAACGCGAAGAACCUUACCAAGGCUUGACAUAUAGUUGAGUUAUUGAGAAAUUGAUAAGUCCCUCGGGACAACUAUACAGGUGGUGCAUGGUUGUCGUCAGCUCGUGUCGUGAGAUGUUGGGUUAAGUCCCGCAACGAGCGCAACCCUUAUCUUCAGUUACCAGCACGUAAUGGUGGGGACUCUGGAGAGACUGCCGAUGAUAAAUCGGAGGAAGGUGGGGAUGACGUCAAAUCAUCAUGCCCUUUAUGUCUUGGGCUACACACGUGCUACAAUGGUUGGUACAACGAGAAGCUAGACAGAGAUGUUAAGCGAAACUCUAAAAACCAAUCUCAGUUCGGAUUGUAGGCUGCAACUCGCCUACAUGAAGUCGGAGUUGCUAGUAAUCGCGAAUCAGAAUGUCGCGGUGAAUGCGUUCCCGGGUCUUGUACACACCGCCCGUCACACCAUGGGAGUUGGCAAUACCCGAAGCCGCCGAUCUAACCGCAAGGAGGAAGGCGUCGAAGGUAGGGUUAAUGACUGGGGUGAAGUCGUAACAAGGUAGCCGUAUCGGAAGGUGCGGCUG
rnacentral:rRNA from 1 species